ensembl:lncRNA
GUUGCCGUUGCCCGUGUAGCCGUCAGCCAAAGUUCCAUUGCUGCCGUCGUCGCCCAGGGUGCCGUUGCCAGUGUAGACGUCAGCCAAAGUUCCAUUGCUGCCGUCGUCGCCCAGGGUGCCGUUGCCUGUGUAGCCGCCAGGCAAAGUCACGUUGCAGUCGUCGCCCAGGGUGCCGUUGCCAUCUGCCAAAGUUCCGUUGCCCGUCUCGACGUCGGCCAGGGUGCCGUUGCCAGUGUAGACGUCAGCAAAAGUCACGUUGCCGUCGUCGCCCAGGGUGCCGUUGCCAUCUGCCAAAGUUCCGUUGCCCGUGUCGACGUCGGCCAGGGUGCCGUUGCCCGUGUAGCCGUCAGCCAAAGUUCCAUUGCUGCCGUCGUCGCCCAGGGUGCCGUUGCCCGUGUAGCCGUCAGCCAAAGUUCCGUUGCCCGUGUAGUCAGCUAGGGUCACGUUGCCGUCGUCGCUCAGGGUGCCGUUGCCUGCGUCGGCAUCUGCCAAAGUUCCAUUGCUGCCGUCGUCGCCCAGGGUGCCGUUGCCCGCGUAGACGUCAGCCAAAGUCUCGUUGCCGUCGGUCACGUUGCCGUCGUCGCUCAGGGUGCCGUUGCCUGCGUCGGCAUCUGCCAAAGUUCCAUUGCUGCCGUCGUCGCCCAGGGUGCCGUUGCCCGCGUAGACGCCAGCCAAAGUACCAUUGCUGCCAUCGUCGCCCAGGGUGCCGUUGCGGGUGUAGACGUCGGACAGGGUGUCGUUGCCAUCUGCCAAAGUUCCGUUGCCCGUGUCGACGUCGGCCAGGGUGCCGUUGCCAGUGUAGACGUCAGCCAAAGUCACGUUGCAGUCGUCGCCCAGGGUGCCGUUGCCCGUGUAGCCGUCAGCCAAAGUUCCAUUGCUGCCGUCGUCGCCCAGGGUGCCGUUGCCCGUGUAGCCGUCAGCCAAAGUUCCGUUGCCCGUGUAGUCAGCUAGGGUCACGUUGCCGUCGUCGCUCAGGGUGCCGUUGCCUGCGUCGGCAUCUGCCAAAGUUCCAUUGCUGCCGUCGUCGCCCAGGGUGCCGUUGCCCGCGUAGACGUCAGCCAAAGUCUCGUUGCCGUCGUCGCCCAGGGUGCCGUUGCCCGCGUAGACGUCAGCCAAAGUACCAUUGCUGCCAUCGUCGCCCAGGGUGCCGUUGCGGGUGUAGACGUCGGACAGGGUGCCGUUGCGGGUGUAGACGUCGGACAGGGUGUCGUUGCCAUC